rnacentral:lncRNA from 1 species
AUAAAACAACCAAAUUAAAGGGGAUUUAAGCUUACCCCAAGUCUCAAAGAAGAAGAUGAUGAUGGUAACAGAGUAAGUAACUGAUGCUUGGUUGCUUGGUAGGGUUGAUCUUGAUGGUUAGAGCAGCUAGAGAAGUGGGGGGAUUUAAGCUAUUCCAACUAGCUAACAAACAAAUCAAACUACAUCACAUAAUUUGAACUCACUCCCAGCAAAAAACCCUUUUUUCCUCAUUGUUUUCUUGAAUUUAGAAUGUGGUUUGUUUGUUUGCACAAUUGAAUAGAUAGAUAGAUAGAUAGAUAGAGAUUGUGAGAGGAAUUAUAGUAUACUCUCAUUCUCUCAAGCAAAGUGUUUUGAUUGUAGAGCUGCAAGGCGGGAAAAUCUC